UGGUGUAAUGGUGAGCACUCUGGACUCAGAAUCCAGAAUUAAGACUCAAAAUAUCUU
rnacentral:tRNA from 1 species